GAUGAACGCUGACUGAAUGCUUAACACAUGCAAGUCAACUGUGGCGGACGGGUGAGUAACGCGUAAAGCACUUUCCUCACAGCUCUGUACAACAUUUGGAAACGAAUGCUAAUACCUGAUACUGUGAGAGAGCUUUGCUUCCCAUUAGCUAGUUGGAGAGGUAACGGCUCACCAAGGCGAUGAUGGGUCGCCGGCCGGAGAGGGUGAUCGGCCACAAGGGGACUGAGACACGGCACUUAAUCCUACGGGAGGCAGAAGUGGGGAAUAUUGGAAAAAGGACAAAAGUCUGAUCCAGGAAUUCUGUGUGCACGAUGAAGUUUUCGGAAUGAAAAGUGCUUUCAGUUGGGAAGCGGUACCAACAGAAGAAGUGACGGCUAAAUACGUGCCAGCAGCCGCGGUAAUAC
rnacentral:rRNA from 1 species